rnacentral:rRNA from 1 species
GAUGAACGCUAGCGGGAGGCUUAACACAUGCAAGCCGAGGGAAAAGUUGUUUUCGGACAACGGACACCGGCGGACGGGUGAGUAACAUGUAUGCAACUUGCCUCUAUCAGUGGGAUAACCCGGGGAAACCCGGACUAAUACCGCAUAAAAAAUGGAUCAGAAUUGAUUUACUUAAAAAGAGUUAGCGAAUAGAGAUAAGCAUGCGUAGGAUAAGUCAGUUGGUGAGGUAACGGCCCACCAAGCCGAUGAUCCGUAGGUGGCCUGAGAGGGUGAACCACCACGCUUGUAACGCGACACGGACCCGACUCCUACGGGACGCAGCAGUGUGGUACAUUAGACGCGGGGGGAGGGCCUGAUCCAGCCAUCCCGCGGGCAGGAAGACGGCCAUAGGGGUUGUAAACUGCUUUUAUACAGGAAGAAUCCUACUCACGGGUGAGUAGUUGAAGGUACUGUAAGAAUAAGCAUCGGCUAACUCCGUG